rnacentral:lncRNA from 1 species
UGCACGUUCCCGGGCCCCGCCCGCUGGCACAAGGCAGGCAGGUGCGAGGAUGCGCCUCGGCUUUGGUACUUUUUUUUUUUAAUACUUCCCAGGUGAUUCUGACGCAGGCGCUCCACGGAAACCCUCCGAGAAUUCUGGGGGCCGUGGGGCCGCCCAGCUCAGUCCGGAGCUCCGGAACUCGGGGAAGAGCGUCCGGGAGCCGGGUCUGGGUUCCACACUCCGUCCGCCCCGAUGGCAGAGAGUGAGAUACGGACGCCCCGGGACGAGGGGCUCAGGACCCGGCUAUGGACACCUGCCUCCAUCUCCCGCCAGAUAACACAGGUGUGAAGAGAGGGGAGAGCAGCAAAGGCUGAGCUGCGUGUGCCUGGUCCCUUCCAGACUUUCCAAAUAACUUUGCCCCACGGAGGACAAGGAAAGCCAAAAGAGAGAAGCCAGGAUUGUUAGUCUUGGAAAAUGCCUCCAUAUAGAAACAUGAGCCGGAGAAUAAAUCACUUGCCUCUCUAACCAGUUGGAUUUGGUCCGUGAGUUCCUAGUUUUGUUCACCUGACUUAGUCCCUGACUUUUAAAGUCAAGUGCAUCAACAUGCUGCCAGUACUUUGAUGAACAUCUAUACAGGAUCCAUCUCUACAGCAGUGAAUUCCACCUGGGGUAAAGUAUGCGUGUAGGUUAGGAUGCUACAGCGGGACUCUGUCUG